rnacentral:lncRNA from 1 species
CUGAUCAUAUAUAUAUUAUCAGGAUCAUGGACUAUCCAUUCUUGAUGCGACUUUUUCAAGAAUGUGGAGCUGUACUCUUGAUCCAUUUUGUUUUGUUAUCAGUUCUUGCUGUGGGCUUCCAUCUGCGACCUUUCUUAUAGUGCAGAAGAGGUACUUAGGGAAUAAGAAUCCAUGUUGUUCUUGGUGAUAAAUAUCAUGAGCAAAAAUUCCCUGGUUGAUGUUUGGACAGUCCAAAGCUGCGGUAGUGCAUUCUCAUCUCCAAUUCGUUGUCUGUCACUCCACUUCAUAGGUUACCCGGAACAACGUACAGGACUGCAUGUUCUUGACUCGAUUAAAUGCACUAAUCUGCUGAUCAAAUGCCAAGUUUUUUUUUAAU